rnacentral:rRNA from 1 species
CCUACGGGUGGCAGCAGUGAGGAAUAUUGGUCAAUGGGCGCUAGCCUGAACCAGCCAAGUAGCGUGAAGGAUGACUGCCCUAUGGGUUGUAAACUUCUUUUAUAUGGGAAUAAAGUGCAGUAUGUAUACUGCUUUUCAUGUAUCUUAUGAAUAAAGAUCGGCUAACUCCGUGCCAGCAGCCGCGGUAAUACGGAGGAUCCGAGCGUUAUCCGGAUUUAUUGGGUUUAAGGGGAGCGUAGGCGGGUUGUUAAGUCAGUUGUGAAAGUUUGCGGCUCAACCGUAAAAUUGCAGUUGAUACUGGCAGCCUUGAGUACAGUAGAGGUAGGCGGAAUUCGUGGUGUAGCGGUGAAAUGCUUAGAUAUCACGAAGAACUCCGAUUGCGAAGGCAGCCUGCUGGACUGUAACUGACGCUGAUGCUCGAAAGUGUGGGUAUCAAACAGGAUUAGAUACCCGGGUAGUC